ACGGGUGCGUAACGCGUGGGAAUCUGCCCUUGGGUUCGGAAUAACAGUGAGAAAUUACUGCUGAUACCGAAUGAUGACGUAAGUCCAAAGAUUUAUCGCCCAAGGAUGAGCCCGCGUAGGAUUAGCUAGUUGGUGAGGUAAAAGCUCACCAAGGCGACGAUCCUUAGCUGGUCUGAGAGGAUGAUCAGCCACACUGGGACUGAGACACGGCCCAGACUCCUACGGGAGGCAGCAGUGGGGAAUAUUGGACAAUGGGCGAAAGCCUGAUCCAGCAAUGCCGCGUGAGUGAUGAAGGCCUUAGGGUUGUAAAGCUCUUUUACCCGGGAUGAUAAUGACAGUACCGGGAGAAUAAGCUCCGGCUAACUCCGUGCCAGCAGCCGCGGUAAUACGGAGGGAGCUAGCGUUAUUCGGAAUUACUGGGCGUAAAGCGCACGUAGGCGGCUUUGUAAGUUAGAGGUGAAAGCCUGGAGCUCAACUCCAGAACUGCCUUUAAGACUGCAUCGCUUGAAUCCAGGAGAGGUGAGUGGAAUUCCGAGUGUAGAGGUGAAAUUCGUAGA
rnacentral:rRNA from 1 species